rnacentral:rRNA from 1 species
GACGAACGCUGGCGGCGUGCUUAACACAUGCAAGUCGAGCGAAACCCCUCCUUCGGGAGGGUGUCCUAGCGGCGAACGGGUGAGUAACACGUGGGCAACCUGCCCUCAGCUCUGGGAUAACUCCGGGAAACCGGGGCUAAUACCGGAUACGACCUCCACGGGCAUCUGCGGAGGUGGAAAGUUUUUCGGCUGAGGAUGGGCCCGCGGCCUAUCAGCUAGUUGGUGGGGUAGUGGCCCACCAAGGCGACGACGGGUAGCCGGCCUGAGAGGGCGACCGGCCACACGGGGACUGAGAGACGGACCAGACUCCUACGGGAGGCAGCAGUGGGGAAUAUUGCGCAAUGGGGGAAAGCCUGACGCAGCGAUGCCGCGUGAGGGACGAAGGCCUUCGGGUUGUAAACCUCUUUCAGCAGGGACGAAGCGAAAGUGACGGUACCUGCAGAAGAAGCACCGGCCAACUACGUG